GCUGGGAUAGCUCAGUCUGUAGAGCAGGAGACUCUUAAUCUCAGGGUUGUGGGUUCGAGCCCCAUGUUGGGCC